CGCAAGGAUCUAGUCCAGUCACUGGAGGGUAGCACCGGCACGUGUGUUCCCGUCAGUGUUUCCUGAGAAGGAAAAAAGUAGGAAACAAAACCUCAUUCUGUCACACAGGCUGGAAUGCAAUGGCAGGAUGGUGGCUGCCUUGACCUCUGGGACUCAGGUGAUCCUCCCACCUCAGCCACUCAAGUAGCUGGGACUACAGGAGAUCUAACACAGGACAGAGGCAGAGAGAAUCCCCAAGAUGAUGGAGGAAGAUCGCAGCAUGACAGCUGUGCU